rnacentral:rRNA from 1 species
GACGAACGCUGGCGGCGCGCCUAACACAUGCAAGUCGAACGAGCGAGAGAGAGCUUGCUUUCUUGAGCGAGUGGCGAACGGGUGAGUAACGCGUGAGGAACCUGCCUCAAAGAGGGGGACAACAGUUGGAAACGACUGCUAAUACCGCAUAAGCCCACGACCCGGCAUCGGGUUGAGGGAAAAGGAGCAAUCCGCUUUGAGAUGGCCUCGCGUCCGAUUAGCUAGUUGGUGAGGUAACGGCCCACCAAGGCGACGAUCGGUAGCCGGACUGAGAGGGUGAACGGCCACAUUGGGACUGAGACACGGCCCAGACUCCUACGGGAGGCAGCAGUGGGGAAUAUUGCACAAUGGGGGAAACCCUGAUGCAGCGACGCCGCGUGGAGGAAGAAGGUCUUCGGAUUGUAAACUCCUGUUGUUGAGGAAGAUAAUGACGGUACUCAACAAGGAAGUGACGGCCAACUACGUG